rnacentral:rRNA from 1 species
CACGGGGGGAGCAAGCGUUGUUCGGAAUCACUGGGCGUAAAGUGCGUGUAGGCGGUCAGGUAAGUGGAAUGUGAAAGCCCUCGGCUCACCCGAGGAUCUGCAUUCCAAACUGCCUGGCUUGAGUAUGGGAGAGGAUGAGGGAAUUCCUGGUGUAGCGGUGAAAUGCGUAGAUAUCAGGAGGAACACCGGUGGCGAAGGCGGAUCUCUGGGCCUUACCUGACGCUCAGGCGCGAAAGCUAGGGGAGCGAACAGG